rnacentral:rRNA from 1 species
GCAAGGUUAAAACUCAAAUGAAUUGACGGGGGCCCGCACAAGCGGUGGAGCAUGUGGUUUAAUUCGACGCAACGCGAAGAACCUUACCUGGCCUUGACAUGUUGGGAACUUUCCAGAGAUGGAUUGGUGCCUUCGGGAACCCAAACACAGGUGCUGCAUGGCCGUCGUCAGCUCGUGUCGUGAGAUGUUGGGUUAAGUCCCGUAACGAGCGCAACCCCUAUCCCUAGUUGCUAGCAGUUCGGCUGAGAACUCUAGGGAGACUGCCGGUGACAAACCGGAGGAAGGUGGGGAUGACGUCAGGUCAUCAUGGCCCUUACGGCCAGGGCUACACACGUGCUACAAUGGCGCGCACAGAGGGCUGCAAACCCGCGAGGGGGAGCCAAUCUCACAAAACGCGUCGUAGUCCGGAUCGCAGUCUGCAACUCGACUGCGUGAAGUCGGAAUCGCUAGUAAUCGUGAAUCAGAAUGUCACGGUGAAUACGUUCCCGGGCCUUGUACACACCGCCCGUCACACCAUGGGAGUGGAUUGCACCAGAAGUGGUUAGUCUAACCUUCGGGAGGACGUUCACCACGGUGUGGUUCAUGACUGGGGUGAAGUCGUAACAAGGUAGCCGUAGGGGAACCUGCGGCUGGAUCACCUCCUU